GACGGAGGGCGCAAGCGUUGUUCGGAAUUACUGGGCGUAAAGCGCGCGCGGGCGGAUGGACAAGUCGGAAGUGAAAGACCGGGGCUCAACUCCGGAACCGCUUUCGAGACUGUUCGUCUAGGGACCGGUAGGGGCAGGUGGAAUUCCCGGUGUAGCGGUGGAAUGCGUAGAUAUCGGGAAGAACACCGGUGGCGAAGGCGGCCUGCUGGGCCGGAUCCGACGCUGAGGCGCGAAAGCGUGGGGAGCAAACAGG
rnacentral:rRNA from 1 species